CCUGAGGUUAAACAAAUGUGGCUUGCUUUUGGUUUAAUCUAAAGGCAAAUAAAAACAGAGUCGUUAGUUGGUUCUUUUUUUUUUUUUCUUUUUAAAUAACUUUAAACAAAAAAAUAUUUCAAGUUAUAUUAUGAUUGUUUUGGCCCUGACUUUACUUUUGAACAGUUAGUAAAAGUGGCUGCUUCUGUUACAGAAGCUACUACUGACAGCAGGUCAUAAGCAGGUGACAGUUUUAGCAAGCCUCAUGUGUCCACAAGAUGCAGGACAGACGUUCAUUCCCUGUCCCUCCUACAAGCAUGUCUUGGCAGUGAAAGAUGACUUUUCCAGGAAUCCUGAGCUGCCUUAACCUUGCAGGAUGAGGCUGCACAAUGUGUUGGCUUCAGCGGUAGGCCUCGGUAGAAACUGUUCCGUCCUCUACUCUCCUCUCUGGCUGACCAGGAAUGCCCUGCAUUAAAUCAUCCCAGGUCCCCUGGUUUGGGAGGAGGAGGGGGAAGAAGAGAGCAAGGCUGAAGCUGCAGUCAGGAGGGGAACUAGCCACCACGGUGGGCCUGGGGUGAGCGUUUGCAAAGCUGACUGCUCUGCUGACAGCAUGUGUGGCUUCCCAUUGCUGAGGACAAAGGGGUGCCUGGUCUUGCAGUAUGCUUACCAAGGUCUCUGCGGGCAGCGAUGAUCUCUGCAGCCUGUCCUUCAUUCUUUUUUUUUUUUUUUUUUUUUCCUGUUGGUUGUGUAUUUUACAGGGGCAUUUUGAGAAAAGUCAACAAAAGCGCUCCAGUAUUUGUGUACCGUGAGGUGCUGAAGGCCAUGUCUGCAGCGCCCUUCCGCACAGGUUUGUCUCCAUGUACCAGCCUCAGUCCCUGAGUCUGGUGCUCUUUUCCACUGCGGAACCGAGCAAAGAGCAAGCAGAGGCUCUUGUAGGUAGAAGUGUGAGGAAUCUGAGGAGUAGUGAGCUAACUGCAGAAAAAAUGCAUUUGGCAGAUGUAUCCUUUCUGUUUACAAAUACCAUGCAAACAUUCUUUGAUAUAUAUAUAUUUUUUUCUAACCAACUUUUCAUCUUGUUCAGUGAACGGUUAAAGGGAGCAUAGCUGAGUCUGGAGUGUUCUUGCACAUGAUUUGAAUAUUUGCUAUUUGCUUUAGCUCCAUUGGUUGCGCACACUGUGCUGUAUUUUUGUUGUUGUUGUUGUUAUAUAUUUUUCAUUUUUUGGUGCCUGCCUUGGGAAUUCCCAAACCACAAGAAGCUUUUACAUUAGCUCUGCAAAUGCUCUCAAUGCAAAUACUUGUGCCAGUCUUUUAGCAUAUCUUCAUUAAUGGAUAUAUGUUUGCACAAGAACCUGCAGUUUUAUCCGUGUUUGCGGAACCUUCUUGAAGAUGGAACUAAAUUGCUGUGAAUGUUUGCAGUAAGCUCAUUAAAAGGAACCUUGAACACCAAGAAUUUGCAGGGUUAUUUUUGGACAAAUACCUGUAAAUCCUUCUCCUUUCCGCUUGUUGUACUGUUUUCUUCAAUAAGCAUGUAGCUGGGAAAGGCAGUAGCUAUAUGCUUGAAAAAAAUAAGAGAUUCAUCACCUAUCACUGGAAAAUAUGUGUUAGUCUGAUUAAGUUAAUAAUUGCAACUGUCUAUGAGAGCCGUUUGGUCGGGUUGUAGGGCUGGUAGCACUAUCCUUGUAACUGCUCCAUGCUCCUGAAUAAGGGGGCAAGAACUGAGACGGUUCACCCAGGAAGGCUCCUGUUCUUAUCAUGGAUUUUCUGAAAUGAGAGAGCUCCAAGUUCCUACAUGCAGCCCUGUUUGUUCAUAAAGCCCUCCUGCAGGGAUGUCUAUUACAACACCCCUUUUGUCUCUAUCAAGAUAGGAAAAUUCAGUGUAAUUAGUGAAGCCUGUUUGCAUAUAAAAUAUGAUAGUCCCUUAAAAUUUGUCUCUUCACACAUAUGACACUUAUUCUGUCUCUGCUUGAAUUGUUUGCUUUGACUAACUCUCGUUUACCUGUAGAAAAAUCUUUUUCUAGUUAAGGAGGGCUAUAUGUUAUUUUUUCAUGCCUUGGUAUUACAGAAAUUCUUGGGUAGUCUUUGAAGGUGGUUUCAUGUUGGAGCAAGCGUAAUCCCUCUUUGCAAGAGAGGUAGACAGCUUUAACUCCUUUCUUUUAGAGGUGUAGACUUUUCAGAGGAUAUAUGCAUAUCUAUCAGCCAGUUGCUUUUCAGCUUUUUUCUUUGUUGCUGUUCAAGUCUCAGCAGAGAGGAUGUUAUGUUGUCUGCUGUGUCUGUGGUUUUGCCCCGUGUUUGUAGAGUGUAUAUAUUUACUAUUUUGGUGAACUGUAUGCCCAUCCACUAUUAUGCUACACAAAUGGGCUUUAUCUGUUCAACCCAUGUUGCUUGAUUCCGAAUGCAUGAUUUGUCCUGAGGAAAUAAUUUAAUUCUGGCAGUGCCUCCUGGUUGUAGUUCUGACAGGCCUUAUCAGAUAGCGUAGACUUUGAACUUUGCAUGUCUCUUCCUUUUUGUCUGUUACUUCUACUAGCACAGGUAGAAGUCCCGUUGAACUCCAAUGUGUGGCCUUGUAUGUAUGUAUAUAGCUUCUGUAAUAUACUCUGAAAGGAGUUUUGGGGUUGCUAUCAAUAACUCUUACAAUAUGUUCUCUUGUGGUUUAUGGUCAUUUUCUACUCAAAUGGUUUCACUUCCUUAUCUACUCAAGGCAGAUAAACAGAUCUGCCGUUAGAUUAAUUGAAACAGCAAUAUAGAGAUGCUGCGGUUCUGAGGAUGGCUCCGUGAAGAUGCUAUUGGUUUUCCAGACCAGGCUCAGGAUAUACAUGCACAGCUGCCUCUCUCACAUGGUCCUGUGCAUGCAUGCAGGAAGUUAAAUAGUAUUUCACAGCAAGAUAAUGGCCUUUGCACAUAGAACCACCAACUUACCCAUGGCGGAGAAGGCAUUCUGUAUUACCACCAGAAGGACCUAUUAAUAUUUUUUUCCAGUGGGUUAUGUCUUUUUGUCUUCCAUCUCUUUCUGUUGCUCCAAUAUGGGUUGGUACAGUAAGAGAUUAUACAGAGAGCCUUGUCAAAGCAGAUUUUUUUUGGGGAAAAAAGCAUUUAGCAGUCCCAGCAUUAGAAUUAUUUCUUCAUCAGACCGCCUCUGAAGUGUACCAGGUUAGGUAGUUUGGUGCUUGGAGAACUGCUAAGGUAGCUUUCUGUAGCCUACACGACCACUUGGACCAAUGCUGCAAGUACUGAAUAAUGCUCUGAGUACACUGCGACCUACAUCGAUUGUGGCAGACAGUAUCAUUACUGGAAGGUUUGUUAGCAUGUGCAAGAAAACGAAAAAGGAAAUGUUAAUGUACAUACAAAACAGUGCUCUAACUCCGGAAUAACAGCAUGAAACGGUUGUAAACCUCAGUCCAACACCAGCCCAGGGCAGCUGCAUGCAAGCAGGAAACUGUAUGCCAUGUAGAUGCUGUCUCUGCCCACUAUGCUGUUAUGCUGGCCUAACAUAAACAUAGUGGCUACCAGAGAUGGAAGCACCCAAGGCAAUUAUAAAAUUAAGCCCUAUGGAUGUUCGUAAUGGAAAUGCUGCCUCUGAACUGGGCAACUUUGUACUUUCUGUAAAAAGCUGCUGAAGAGUGUUGAUGGGGGACUAUCUGCCCCUCCCUCAGCCCGGCGCUUCCCUUGGAAGAGGGCAGGUCCUGGAGCAGCAGCCCGGGGAGCCUGUCCGUACGCUCAGCUGCGGCAGUCGGGAUGGCCCUGCUGCCCUCGGUACUGCUGCAGGGGCCUGUGGGCUCCUCUGUUGGUGAGCCUAGCUGCAGAUCUGCCUGGUCACAGAAAAGGAGUGAAGCCAUGUGAGCAUAAAAUAGCCAUCAGCCAGAAGAGAAGGUAUUGUGGAAACUUCUGAUAGUAAACCCUAAAGUGUUUCAAAUAAAAUCUACAGUACUGAAAAAGGGGCUGAUGUGUGCAUGUCUGACACCUUCUGUAAAAAAGAGCUUGCAGCAAGAAAUUGUGCAACUGAACAAGAAGAUGAGAUCCUCCACAUGAUAGAGAGGAUAAAUCAAGCCAGAUACGGCCACUGUGUGGGCAGGGGUUGGAAGGAGCUGGGGAGCCGAGCUGCUCAGCACGCAUGGAUGUGUGAGAAGGGACGGAUGCAGGGGGGGAGUUGUGCUUUUUGCUCAACGUUAUUGAAUGAGCAAAAAGUCCACGAUAACAUCAUCUGAAGGCAGAUGGAUCAGUUUACUGAGAGCAGAAAGUUUUUUAAAAGAUACAGUGAUGCAAUGGAUUAAAAUGCUAGCAGUAUCAUAUUCUUGUCAUAAGAACCCAGGUUAACCAAUACCUGAUGAGCAGCUGUAAAACAUCACAAAAUGAAGCCAAGAGAAGAAGAUUAAGAAAUAUACAACAUUUCUAAAAGGUCUUGGAGACCUCUUCACCUGAAGCCAUACUAAAUACCUCAUUGUUGUAAAUUACUGUUUGGAUUUUGAGAAUUCAAUUGAAUUGUUAGAUAUUUUUAUUGUGAUAGUUGUGGACAGAGCAAUGAUGCUUCCAGGUAAUGUGGUGUCCAUAGACUCAUCUUUCCAGGCUAUGUGUGGGUUGUUCCUUAUGAACAUCUCUUAUUUAGUCUUUCGCUCUUAAAAGAGUAGCUUUUUAAGGCCCAGGUUAGUUUUACAUCUCUCAGGACAGUUUGUACUGGCUUCCAGAAGACGAAGUGCAGGCCAGAAACUGUUCCAUAGAAUUUUGCUGAUUUCACUUAGGAGGGAUAAAAGAGACUUGAAAAAUGUGAUGUGGAUCCACUGGUGAAAGAGGGACAGGCCUUUGAGAGGAGAUUUUCAAGAAUUAUGGGUUUCAUAGAGGCAUUUAUUUAGCAAGCAACCAAACACCAUGGAAGUUUCAUCCUCCAAACCGACAUGUGUAGGAUUUCUAUUUGUACAUGUUACUAGUCAUUUGGAGUACCACAACCAGCCCACAUAUUUCACUGUUCCCAGGAAUAAAUACUUGCAGAAUUGAGAUUUCUUUUUGUACUGCUUUGCUCCCGUGGAGAAGAGGAAUUUUCCUUCGCUUGCUCACGUAACAGCCAGCAAAGCCACAGGGCUAGACCUUGCUUGUUGUGGUGUUUAGUCACCUUUGCACUUUAUCUUACCUGCAAAUCUCAGGCUGGGAAUCAAAUUGCAGCCCUCCUCAGCAGGGUAAGUCACUGUGAUCCACCUUCUAUUGUUAAGGAGUCAUUGCUAAACCAAAGGCAGGAGGAAAAUUACCUGUCCUGGGGUGAAAGGCAGAGAGGCAGCGCUGUCCUUCCGUCCUGGGAACGUGAUGGUGAUGAGGCAGGAGAACCACGGAUUUUAGGUUUGGGAGCCAAACUUGCCCUUUUUUGCUUUCACAGCAAAAUUUCUCUGUGCGUCUGAUGUAUGGUCUGAAACCAUUACGACUUCUGUGCUUUCCCUUGAGUUAAUAUUUAAUUUCUUCUUAAACAUUAACCUUGGCUAGAGCUACUUUUGAAAAAGAGGACUGCUGUGCUAAUAACACUAAUCAUUUCCUUUUGAAAAGCUUGGGAACAAUGUGGAGCACUGUAUGUGUCUGAAAAGUAAACUCUCUUUUAAUGACAUAUGUUACUGUUUCGCAAUACUUUUUUUUUUUUUUUUUUUGCUAUUUCUUCUGAUGUUUACAAACUGUUCCUGCCCAAACUGCAAUCCAUGAAGACUCUGUGGUGAACCCACCUCUUGAGCCUACUCCUUUGUUGUGAAGCAAAGCAGUAAAGCAAAGAUCAAUGUCCUUUUACUCUCACCAGUUCAUGUGGUAUUAAGUCAAGUGCAAGUCAAAUAUAAAUAUAUUUGUAGCUAUAACUACCAGACAAACGGCACUUGUCACAAACAUUUCUCAACCACAGACAUCAGGAAGAGAAUCUGUUAUGUAUUUAUUUAUCUUAAAUUGUUAUCAGGCACCAAAGACUGCAUAGUCAGCUGAACACUAACCAUUUCUCAAGGGGUGCAUACGUGGGUAUGGGACCCCAGAGGUGAGAACCCAGCUGGAUUGAUGCCCCGCAUGGCGAAUGCUUAUUCAGCACCUAUAGCAGAGGCUAGGAGAAGAAGAGCUGCUUGCAGAUGCUCACGUGGGUGCAGCUCUGCUGGUGGAUGCAGGUUUCUGGAGGACAUUUGGGCUGGGUUCUGCCAGCAGGGCAUGGGGACCCCAGUGGGGCGGUGUGAUGCAGCCAGCAGUGCAGACCCCCCUGCUGGAAAAGCCUUUCCCUUUAUCCCCCGCUCCGCACUGAGCUAUCCCACCUGUCCAAGGCAUGACGUUACAUCAGUUUUUCUCUCCCGUUUUCAUGAGUGCAGCUCCUCCAUCAGCAGCAUUUCAGGUUAGAAACAUAAGCUGGAGUCACCUGUUCUUGCUGGGUCCUAUUGAGGGAUGUUGAGACUCCACCAGGGCCUUCCAUGAGAAGCUGUUAAACCCAUGUGUUCUGGGUUAUUUCUUCUUGUCGGGAGCCUCUUCAGUGCUGCAGUCCGAGAGGCCUCACAGCUACCCAUGGAUGUCCCCGAGAGAGGAUCCUCUUCCCAAGAAAGCAUCCUGGGGCUCUCAGUGGGUGGAGUGUCUUGUAGCUGAGCUGCCUGCUGGAGAGAGUGAAAAGAAUUUAGGCAAAAGAAUGAAAAAAAAAGGCUGGAUUGCUUAAUCAUGAAGCAGUGCCAGGCUGAUGUAGGAUGCUGCUGUCUGUUAUAUCUCCAGGCAGCAUCAGGCUGAGGGUGAGGUUCUCUUGUAAUUUGGUGUCCUUCACUAAUGCACUCAGGAGGACGUGUAUAAAUAGAGCAAGUGCAUUAUAUGCCUAUUCAUUGUUUAUUUCUAAAGAGGCCUAAUUUUUUCCUCAUGUUUAUUUUCUGAGUAAGAAUUACUGUGCUCAGCAGAGUAAUUGUGCGUAAAAGAAAAAAAUACCCUCAAGAACAUGUAAAAGUAAAAAUUGGGAUAUCCUUCCUCUAACUCUUCUGCUGUAGUCAUAAACCCAAAGAUACAUUUAAGUUUUAACUUUUCGUAAUGGCUUGUGUGUUUGGGCAAUGUGUAUAGUAAAUCAAUUAUUCAAAUGAAUAAAUAAAAUGUCAGUGGAUUGGA